rnacentral:lncRNA from 1 species
AUGGUUGGCCCACAUUCCCAUUUUGGGUGCACCGCAGGCACACGUAAAGCACUGUGUUGCCUAGUGAGACCAGAACCGUUGGUUCUUCAUCAGCAAGAGGACAGAUAUGCGGGGGCCACAAAAUUUGCAUGUUUAUUUACUUUUAACCAGAGAGAGAACGAAGGAGGAGCUGCUUUUGCUUUUAAAAGUUGCUACUCUUGA